GUUUUUUUUCUUCUUCCAAAACUCAAUCAAUUCAUUAGAGAAAAGAACAAAAUAGGCAUUUUACUCAUAGAAAAUUAGGGGUUUUGAAGAGCAUAAGAAGUUAAUAUGCCAUCAUUACCCUUUGAAACGAUUUUACUUCCCUUGAUCCCUUAUCUGACCCCAUUUAAUACUGGUUCUUGUUCUUUUGAAACAUCAGUGAUUGGCGUGGUAAUCUUAGUUAAUAUUUCACAUUAAUUUCGUUGAAGUAAUUUUUCCCCUUUCUUUUCUCUCAAUUUCCUCUUUGUUUUUCAUCUUCUUCUAGAUUAUUCUCUUUUUUCUGAGGUUGUUAUGCUACUAGACAAAGGAAUCUCAUCUUGUUCAAAAAAUCGAAGGUUUUUGGGUUCGAUCAUGAACUGAGGUUUGCCAUUUUGGAGGUUUAGGGGGUUUGAAUUAAUUGCAGUUGUCUUAAAAAGGAACUUAUACCAUGUAUUGAAGUGAGCUAAAGGCGCCAAAGAUCCAGAAAGGCAGAAGGUUAAAUUCCCGUUACUAGACGUUUCCAGCAAGCCAAACUAUAGGCAUUUCUUGUGGGCAACUUAAAUCCCUCAUGUUGCACUGAGCUUUCUCUUACUUUUUGCUUAUCCUACUCCUAAGCUUCCAACUCCAACUUUUGAGUACCACACUGCCUUCAAUGGUGUUGCAUU